UGGGGGAUAUUGCACAAUGGGCGAAAGCCUGAUGCAGCGACGCCGCGUGGGGGAUGAAGGCUUUCGGGUUGUAAACCUCUUUCGCUAUCGAACAAGGCCCGCUUAGGGUGGGUUGAGGGUAGGUGGAGAAGAAGCGCCGGCUAACUACGUGCCAGCAGCCGCGGUAAUACGUAGGGCGCGAGCGUUGUCCGGAAUUAUUGGGCGUAAAGGGCUUGUAGGCGGCUUGUUGCGCCUGCUGUGAAAACGCGGGGCUUAACUUCGCGCGUGCAGUGGGUACGGGCAGGCUUGAGUGGGGUAGGGGAGAGUGGAAUUCCAGGUGUAGCGGUGGAGUGCGCAGAUAUCUGGAGGAACACCGAUGGCGAAGGCAGGUCACUGGGCCAUUACUGACGCUGAGGAGCGAAAGCAUGGGUAGCGAACAGG
rnacentral:rRNA from 1 species